UGCAGUCGAGCGGUAACAUUCCUAGCUUGCUAGGAGAUGACGAGCGGCGGACGGGUGAGUAAUGCUUGGGAAUAUGCCUUAUGGUGGGGGACAACAGUUGGAAACGACUGCUAAUACCGCAUAACGUCUACGGACCAAAGGGGGGGAUCUUCGGACCUCUCGCCAUUUGAUUAGCCCAAGUGAGAUUAGCUAGUUGGUGAGGUAAUGGCUCACCAAGGCGACGAUCUCUAGCUGGUUUGAGAGGAUGAUCAGCCACACUGGGACUGAGACACGGCCCAGACUCCUACGGGAGGCAGCAGUGGGGAAUAUUGCACAAUGGGCGAAAGCCUGAUGCAGCCAUGCCGCGUGUGUGAAGAAGGCCUUCGGGUUGUAAAGCACUUUCAGUUGUGAGGAAAGGGGUGUAGUUAAUAGCUGCAUGCUGUGACGUUAACAACAGAAGAAGCACCGGCUAACUUCGUGCCAGCAGCCGCGGUAAUACGAGGGGUGCAAGCGUUAAUCGGAAUUACUGGGCGUAAAGCGUUCGUAGGCGGUCUAUUAAGCAAGAUGUGAAAGCCCAGGGCUC
rnacentral:rRNA from 1 species